GCGACCGGCGCACGGGUGCGUAACGCGUAUGCAACCUACCCAUUACUGGAGGAUAGCCCGGGGAAACUCGGAUUAAUACCCCAUAGUAUCAUAGAUUGGCAUCAUGAAAUGAUUAAAGAUUUAUUGGUAUAGGAUGGGCAUGCGUUAGAUUAGUUAGUUGGUGAGGUAACGGCUCACCAAGGCGACGAUCUAUAGGGGUUCUGAGAGGAUGAUCCCCCACACUGGCACUGAGAUACGGGCCAGACUCCUACGGGAGGCAGCAGUGGGGAAUAUUGGACAAUGGGGGCAACCCUGAUCCAGCCAUGCCGCGUGAGUGAUGAAGGCCCUAGGGUUGUAAAGCUCUUUCAGCGAGGAGGAUAAUGACGUUACUCGCAGAAGAAGCCCCGGCUAACUUCGUGCCAGCAGCCGCGGUAAUACGAAGGGGGCUAGCGUUGUUCGGAAUCACUGGGCGUAAAGCGCACGUAGGCGGAUUGGUCAGUUAGGGGUGAAAUCCCAGAGCUCAACUCUGGAACUGCCUUUAAUACUGCCAGUCUUGAGUCCGAGAGAGGUGAGUGGAACUCCGAGUGUAGAGGUGAAAUUCGUAGAUAUUGGAAAGA
rnacentral:rRNA from 1 species